rnacentral:rRNA from 1 species
UACGAAGGGGGCGAGCGUUGUUCGGAAUUACUGGGCGUAAAGGGCGCGCAGGCGGCCCUAUGAAGUCAGAUGUGAAAGCCCCGGGCUCAACCUGGGAAUAGCAUUUGAUACUCAUGGGCUGGAGUGCGGGAGAGGAGAGUGGAAUUCCCAGUGUAGAGGUGAAAUUCGUAGAUAUUGGGAAGAACACCGGUGGCGAAGGCGGCUCUCUGGACCGUAACUGACGCUGAGGCGCGAAAGCGUGGGGAGCAAACAGG